GAUGAACGCUAGCUACAGGCUUAACACAUGCAAGUCGAGGGGCAUCAGGAAGAAAGCUUGCUUUCUUUGCUGGCGACCGGCGCACGGGUGAGUAACACGUAUCCAACCUGCCCUUUACUCGGGGAUAGCCUUUCGAAAGAAAGAUUAAUACCCGAUAGUAUAAUGAUUCCGCAUGGUUUCAUUAUUAAAGGAUUCCGGUAAAGGAUGGGGAUGCGUUCCAUUAGGUUGUUGGUGAGGUAACGGCUCACCAAGCCUUCGAUGGAUAGGGGUUCUGAGAGGAAGGUCCCCCACAUUGGAACUGAGACACGGUCCAAACUCCUACGGGAGGCAGCAGUGAGGAAUAUUGGUCAAUGGACGAGAGUCUGAACCAGCCAAGUAGCGUGAAGGAUGAAGGUCCUACGGAUUGUAAACUUCUUUAUAAGGGAAUAAACCCUCCACGUGUGGGAGCUUGUAUGUACCUUAUGAAUAAGCAUCGGCUAACUCCGUG
rnacentral:rRNA from 1 species